UACGUAGGGGGCAAGCGUUGUCCGGAUUUAUUGGGCGUAAAGAGCGUGUAGGCGGCCAGACAAGUCUGCUGUGAAAACUCGAGGCCUCAACCUCGAGCUGUCGGUGGAAACUGUCGUGGCUAGAGUCCGGAAGAGGAGAGUGGAAUUCCGUGGUGUAAGCGGUGAAAUGCGCAGAUAUCAGGAAGAACACCUAGUGGCGAAGGCAGCUCUCUGGGACGGUACUGACGCUGAGACGCGAAGCGUGGGGAGCGAACAGG
rnacentral:rRNA from 1 species